rnacentral:misc_RNA from 1 species
AGACCACACCUAGGCCCUCUGCCUAGCGUUGGGGAUCCGCCCAGGCGGUCCCUCAAAGACCCCAGCGGAGCUGUCGGUAUCCUCUAAGCGUAGUAGUGAAAUCUCGCUUCUGUAGGUGCUGCAGGUCCAGCUGUAGAGACACUAUACCACAA